rnacentral:lncRNA from 1 species
UCAAAAUAGUUUUCCUCACUCACCUAAAAUAUUAACUCUUACAAUUAUCAAAAUAGUUUUCCUCACUCACCUAAAAUAUUAACUCUUUCCUUUUCAUUCCCUUUCCUUUCUUUAUUCAUCAUUCUCCUCUCCCUCUUUCCUCUUUCCCCUCUCUUCACUUGUUGGUGAAGGGUUUUUUUUGUAAACACAAUGAAAUCAUGAUUCCAAUGUUUUUGGAUUUACAAUCAAAUCACGAUUCCAUUGAAUAACACAUUUGUAACACAACAAAGUUGAGAUUCCAUUGUGUUACAAAUUCGACCCUUAUGUAACACAAUAAAAUUGUGAUUUCAUUGUGUAAUAAUUCAUCUAACACAAUAGGAUCAUGAUUGAAUUUGUCAAUGGAAAUCACUUUGUGCAGGUAUACAUUAUCCACCAAAGAUACCAUUUAUUUUUGUAAGCUAAUAUUGAUUUAUUUGCUAACUUUGUCUUUUGUAUGAUAUUGUAGCUUUUUUAAGGGAUAAUUAUCUCUUGCCUUCCAUUGUACAACUAUGGAGAAAGAUAUUACACACCCGAAGUUCAUUCUUAGCAAAAGCCUUGCAUGAG